rnacentral:tRNA from 1 species
GCAUGGCUUGCGGCGGCCGCCGACGCUUUCGAGCAGCGUGACGAUGCGGCCGCGCCGCUGUCCGCCGCGGCGGCCGUGCU